UCCGCCUGCCUCUGCCUCCUGAGUGCUGAGAUUAAAGGCAUGCGCCACCACUGCCUGGUUUGGGAUGAAGACUUUAAUAGGCUUCUGCCUCCAGCUGGGUGCAGGCAUGGAGAGGAAAGAAGACCCCACUGCAUUUCCUGUCCUGAGUUUCUGAGUGUUGUCAGCAGGGAGAGUCCCUGACUCAGCAAGGAGACCAGCUGCUCUGCAGUCACCGUACAACUCAAGCUGACUGGCUUGAAGGCACAGGCAGUGUCUGUCCCCGGGCCUACCUGUGCCAGUGACUCUCCGUCACAGCUUGAUUGACAGGGGACUCUAGGUUAUCUCUGGGACCUCAGGGUUGAGCAAAGGCCCCAGUCUCCCUCUCCAGUCUCUCCCCCAGCCACCUACCAGGUCCCCAACUCCAGCUCCCAGCCCCCCACAAGCUAUUCCCUGCCCAUCCCAGCUACCUGAAGGUGGCACCUCCUGUCCCUUAGGGGACAGAUGGGAUGCUCAGGGCCAUAACAGAAUGGUUAGGAGUGGACCCAUCAUCACUUGGCCUGAACAGAUGAACGAUCAGUGUGGUGACUGAAGCAGGAGGAUUUCUGCAAGCUCAAGGUUUGGCUGCAAGCUCCUCUUCCCACAGAGCCAUCUUGCUGACCGCAUUCUGGUAUUGGGUUCAGAGUACAGCCAGAGCCCCUAACACUGGAUAGAAGAGAAAAGAAGUUCCUGAAUAAAGCCAGAGUUGAAGAGGAGUGACAUCAUCCUCACACUACUUGCUGAUUGGGCACUGAGCCCCUUACAGCACGAUUGAUCUUCAGCAUCAUGAUAUCUAAUUUCUUCUUCUUGUUUCUUCUUUGCACACAAGUACUUAACAAACCGAAACCAACAACAGCAACAACCAACGACCCAUCCCUCUCAGGGCCCUAGCAUUUAUACACCCUCAAAAGCCCAUGGAAUUCCUAACAUCGUGUAAUCACAGCAACUCUCUGCAUCUGGCAAAAUCAUGCCCCUGCUAGAGCACGAGGAAAGUGAUGUCCGCUGCUGUGGCCAGUCCGAAGCGCCCGCCCCGCAUCCCACACCUGGGACCAAAAUGAAAGCACAUUCCUAGUUCUGUUUUUAAAGAGACAAA